GACGAACGCUGGCGGCGUGCCUAAUACAUGCAAGUAGAACGCUGAAGAGAGGAGCUUGCUCUUCUUGGAUGAGUUGCGAACGGGUGAGUAACGCGUAGGUAACCUGCCUGGUAGCGGGGGAUAACUAUUGGAAACGAUAGCUAAUACCGCAUAAAAUUGAUUAUUGCAUGAUAAUUAAUUGAAAGAUGCAACUGCAUCACUACCAGAUGGACCUGCGUUGUAUUAGCUAGUUGGUGAGGUAACGGCUCACCAAGGCGACGAUACAUAGCCGACCUGAGAGGGUGAUCGGCCACACUGGGACUGAGACACGGCCCAGACUCCUACGGGAGGCAGCAGUAGGGAAUCUUCGGCAAUGGGGGGAACCCUGACCGAGCAACGCCGCGUGAGUGAAGAAGGUUUUCGAAUCGUAAAGCUCUGUUGUAAGAGAAGAACGGGUGUGAGAGUGGAAAGUUCACACUGUGACGGUAGCUUACCAGAAAGGGACGGCUAACUACGUG
rnacentral:rRNA from 1 species